UUAGAUCCGCUGUGACAUCUGUGACAGGUGGUUUCACCACGAGUGUGUCCUGAGGCCAGAUCUUGAUGGGGAUUACCUGUGCCUUGCAUGUGUAAUCAAUGCCUACCUCACCUUUCUUGUGAGGAAAUAUAAUAAAAUAAGUCCAGAAAAGGCUGGUGUCAUCGACAGUUUUUGCAUGACGGCAAUUUGGCAAGGGAAACAACAAAGACUCCGAAAACUCGAUCCAAUGGCAUUCUCCAUCCUUUUGGGAAUAAUUAAUGAACAAAACCACUGGAUGUUGACGGUCAUCUACCCACACGAGAAGAGAUGCUUUUUUUGGAUCCAUUGGGGGAAUCACAAAGGAACAUCAAGAGAUGCCUGGGGUCAACAAGGGCCUUUAUGCGAACGAAAGGCUGCAACGUGACAAGGUGGGCAUGCAGCACCCUGGCCCAUGCACGCCAGCAAGAUGGCACAUCAUGUGGUGUCCUGGCCUUAAAAGUAAGUGUACUGUACACUACUGAAACAAUGUGGACAACCUCAAGGUCAUUACCUUUUUUCAUAAGAGAAAUCCAUGACUUGGUUUCUUACAUGUUUGUGAUAUGUACCAUUAAGUAGCCCAAAAAUUAUAUAUAUAAACUUGAGGUGCACCACCAAAAAUGGAGU